rnacentral:rRNA from 1 species
GAUGAACGCUGGCGGCGCGCCUAAUACAUGCAAGUCGAGCGAACAGACCAUGAUCUUUCUCCUCUGACGUUAGCGGCUGACGGGUGAGUAACACGUGGAUAACCUACCUAUUUUUCUGUGAUAACUUCGUUAAACCGCUUCUAAUACCGGAUAAUAUAUUGUACCGCAUUGUUCAAUAGUUAAUUACGGUUUUCCUGUCUCUUAUAGAUUGUUCCUGUCUGCAUUAGCUAGUUUGUAAGGUAAAGGCUUACCAAGGCGACGAUGCGUAGCGGACCUGAGAGGGUGAUCGGCCACACUGGAACUGAGACACGGACCAGACUCCGACGGGAGGCAGCAGUAGGGAAUAUUGGGCAAUGGGCGAAAGCAUGACGGAGCAACGCCGCGUGAGUGAAGAAGGUCUUCGGAUCGUAAAACUCUGUUAUUAGGGAAGAAAAAAAGUGGAAGAAAAUAUGGACGUAUUGACGGUACCUAAAGAAAAAGCAACGGCUAACUACGUG